rnacentral:rRNA from 1 species
GACGAACGCUGGCGGCGUGCUUAACACAUGCAAGUCGAACGGAAAGGCCCUGCUUUUGUGGGGUGCUCGAGUGGCUAACGUGUGAGUAACACUUUAUUAACCUGCCCUUGACUUUGGUAUAACUUCAGGAAACUGGUGCUAAUACCGGAUAGGAGCUCCUUCUGCAUGGUGGUGGUUGGAAAGUUUCGGCGGUUGGGGAUGGACUCGCGGCUUAUCAGCUUGUUGUUGGGGUAGUGGCUUACCAAGGCUUUGACGGGUAGCCGGCAUGAGAGGGUGACCGGAGAAAUUGGGAAUGAGAAACGGCCAAGAAGCAUACGGGAGGCAGCAGUGGGGAAUAUUGAAAAAUGGGAGGAAGCAUGAUGCAGCAAAGAAGCGUGCGGGAUGAAGGCCUUCGGGUUGUAAACCGAUUAAGCAUGUGAAGAAGAGUGAGUGACGGUAAUGGGUAAAGAAGCACCGGCUAACUAAGUG